UUGCAAAUAACGUAGAGUAAAGUGAGCGCGCAGGGAGUGAUGGGAAGAUUUCAUCCCAUUACUCCUUGCGCGCUCAUUUUUCCCUCACUAGAAACUUCAUGUAAGCUUGUUGAUCUACAUAGUUGUUUUGGGACAUUCACACAGACAGUUGUAUUUUAAAGCACGCAAUAAUACAUCGAUUUGAAUCACUUUAUUCCACUAUUCACUGCCACUUCGAUCAAUAAUUAUUAAC